GAGUAUCCAAUUUUAAUAUAUAUAUCAUUGUUCUUCACAUGAUCGUUUAGUACUGAUUACUGUCUUUAUUGUAGCCGGUUCUGUUUUACUAAAUAUGAACCAUAUUAUAUCUAAUAUGGGAAGUUGUUUUUUUCUAUAGAUGCGGGAUAUAACCAAGUUUAAAGUUAUUAAUAGACUAUGGCUUUGUUGAUGAAGAUAAUUCUUAUGGUUACAUUUUAUUGAGGCAUCCUAAACACCAAAGAUCCUCAAUACCAUGAUAAGGUAUGGGCUGCUCAACCAAAUGAAAAACUGGUUAAUGGAUAUACAAGUCUUACGGGUUACCAAAAGAUGACACACAUCUUGACAUCUUUAACUGGUGAAAAAGUGCUUGUCAUUCCAGAGAGAGGGUGGGACCACUUUGCGUGUGGAAGUGAAAGAUACUUGCAUAAACUUUGAGCUAGGAAGCGGAUACCACCACAUGUCAAGUUUGUACUGGAGAACCCGGAAGGGGUAUUCUACUGAGAGUUUUCCUUUAAGGGAGGCUUGGGACUGGAAAUACAUAACUUCAAAAGCAUUGGCACGCUCAUUAUGCUGACAUUAAAAAUCCUUUCAAGAAGAAACUGUCCCUGAAGUAAGCCUACCUGCUAAAUGCUAAACUGUCAGGUCCGUGAAGUAAUCAAACUUCGAAUGACACUUAAUUCCUUGGAAAGAAAAGUUUGUAUUUCUGAAGGUACCACUUUUGGCCACAUGCUGAUGUUCCAUUUUCUUUGGUAAUCCUGGCACACGUCAAGGGGAAGUCACCGGUUUUGACUUUACCAGUGUAUUAGUACGUACUAUAUCUUCGCUCGGAGGCAAAUGGAGGUUUUGAGGAGUCCUUGCAGUGUGAGCGUGCACAAUAAUCUUUAAUUAGUAAACAAGACCCUUAGAACCGGCCGAGACCUGAGUAGGCGCGCAAUGGAAGUGCAGUUGUCUUUCCGAAUGUCGAGACCUGUUUCGAUGGUGAUCAUUGUCAAUCUAAAAGAAUGUAUAUAUCAAGAUACAUGUGAACUAUUGUGAUUUUUCACCAUAUAACCAUAUUUAAUGCCAUGUUUGAUAAUUUUAUUCAGA